AGCAAGAUCCACGACCACCUUCUCCAGUGCAGGGCUGUAGCCGGAAGCACCUGUCGAGCCAGGGACCCCAUCGUCCAGCCUCACCUCCACCCUUCUCUCCUAGUCAAAGAGUUUGAAAAACAUUGGAGUGAACGAAUCAUCAUGGUCCUGUUUCCACUGUGAUUUCUUUAUUUGUGGAUAUGCACCAGAAUUUUGAACAAUGGCCUCUGUGGGGAAGCGUUCUAAGGACUGUCCAGAAGAGUUUGUUCAUGGAUUAUAGGAAUCACAGAUGUGCAAGUGCAGAUGUAGAAAAAUUGUAAAACUGACUGGGGAGGAAAAAUCAGCACAUCAAAAUUGGGGAGCCGGGAGUCAGUGAUGUAGAAACACAGGAAAGAAGCUGCUCAGCUGAGGCUGCAGUACUUGGAAAUGGCUUCAUCAAGCUGUUAGGAAUUAGUCUAGAUCUUA